CAUAUCAAUAAGCGGAGGAAAAGAAACCAACAGGGAUUGCCUCAGUAACGGCGAGUGAAGCGGCAAAAGCUCAAAUUUGAAACCUUCGGGAUUGUAAUUUGAAGAUUUGGCAUUGGAAAAAGCCACCCCAAGUUGCUUGGAAUAGUACGUCAUAGAGGGUGACAACCCCGUCUGGCUAACCGUUUUCCAUUGUAUUGCCUUAUCAAAGAGUCGAGUUGUUUGGGAAUGCAGCUCAAAGUGGGUGGUAAACUCCAUCUAAAGCUAAAUACUGGUGAGAGGCCGAUAGCGAACAAGUACUGUGAAGGAAAGGUGAAAAGAACUUUGAAAAGAGAGUGAAAUAGUAUGUGAAAUUGUUGAUAGGGAAGGAAAUGAGUGGAGAGUGGACGAGGUUUCAGUGCCCCCUCGGGGGUACGUACUGCCAACUCCGAGUCAACGUCAGCGAGACGGGGUGUAUAAACGGGUGUCUUCGGACUCUCACCUACUCCCCCCCGCUGCCGUCGUCGACAUAAUCCACCCAUUUCACCCGUCUUGAAACACGGACCAAGGAGUCUAAUGGAUAUGUGAGUGUUAGGGUGGCAAACCCCAGCGCGCAAUGAAAGUGAAUGAUUCGUUCAGAAUCGACCGAACUUGAUUUUUAUGACAGUUUUGAGUAAACACAUCCAUUGGGACCCGAAAGAUGGUGAACUAUGCCUGAAUAGGGUGAAGUCAGAGGAAAACUCUGAUGGAGGCUCGUAGCGGUUCUGACGUGCAAAAUCGAUCGUAGAACUUGGGGUAUAGGGGCGAAAGACUAAUCGAACCAUCUAGUAGCUGGGUUCCUGC
rnacentral:rRNA from 2 species